rnacentral:lncRNA from 1 species
UUAAAGGUGCCAAAAUGUUUUUACAACUUGUUGGCCACAUGGCAAUUUCCUAUUGGCAAAUUAAUUUUCACAUGGAUUUGUUUUUCUUUGGAAAAAACAUGGACCAUUGAUUUUAAUCAAUGGUUGAAAUUAGAUCCCCUUUUAAUUAAAACAUGGUGGACGGCUUUUUCAACAAGGCAGAUUUUUUUCAUUUUCUCUUCCUCUCGUCUCUCUUUCUCUCUCGAAGGGUCUCUCUUGGUGAUUUCACAAGGAGUUUUUCUCUUGUAUUAAAUCUGAAAUUCUGACCGGUGUUGAUGGGGUAUCAACUGUAGUAUUUCGGCUGUUUUGUGGUCUAUGGUCCGGUGGUCUUUUGGCCGGAAAAUUGGUCCAUUUUUCAACGAGUAAUAGCCGAUGUUUGGUGUUGUAUUUGAGAAGUUUUUUUACCUUGUUUCGGUAGAUAUUAAACUGUGAAGUCAGAUACUAUUUUUGGUCUAGGUCAGGUUUCGAUUUGGUGGAGUAUUGUGAGAUCCUUUUGUUGGACUGAUGAUCUGAUUGUGUGUGAGUUGAGAUCCGAACCUUGUAAACAAACUAAUGCUCUUUGUUGUGAGGUUCUUACAUAGUGACGGGCUUGGAACUUUUGCCUCUGAGCCCCCCAGAUUAGGCUUGGCCGAACUGGGUGAACAAUUCAUGUAUUCUUUAAUUUUCUGCGUGAUUUUUAUUCCUGCUGUGCGUGAGAAUUGACGACAGAAAUCGGAUAUUGGG